CAAAUAACUCCAACUCAGAACUGUGGCAGAGAGCAGGGAAUCUGGGAGAUCUGUGGCGGAAGGAGGCAAUACUGUUUCAACCAGAGCUAGAACCGUUCCAGAUCAUAUUCGAAGGUUGGGUUGGAAACGGUACCAGGAGCGACAUGGCUCUCGAUGACAUUAUUCUGACAAAGGGGGCGUGCAUCUUUUGAAAAAAACAAUUCUGGUACUUUGCAUUCCAACUCGAGCGAGAGACAGUAUUUAGUAAUCAUGAAUUAUAAAAUAUGAAAGGAAUGUUUUUGCUUCUACAGAAUGUUAAUGUCUUAUAUUGUUGAUGACUAAUCCUGUAAUAAACACAGGUGGUGGUUCUCUAUACGGAAUAUGUGUUUAUAAGUGCUUAAGCUCUAAUGCUGUAACAACAAGUGGUGGAUCGCGAUAAGGGAAUAUUUCUAUUGAUGUUUAAAACUUGUAAUCUUUAACAUAAGUAGCACGGUGUCAACGUUGGGAGAUAAUAAACUUUACGUUUUUUUAAA
rnacentral:misc_RNA from 1 species